GAUGAACGCUGGCGGCGUGCCUAAUACAUGCAAGUCGAGCGAACAGACGAGGAGCUUGCUCCUCUGACGUUAGCGGCGGACGGGUGAGUAACACGUGGAUAACCUACCUAUAAGACUGGGAUAACUUCGGGAAACCGGAGCUAAUACCGGAUAAUAUAUUGAACCGCAUGGUUCAAUAGUGAAAGACGGUUUUGCUGUCACUUAUAGAUGGAUCCGCGCCGCAUUAGCUAGUUGGUAAGGUAACGGCUUACCAAGGCAACGAUGCGUAGCCGACCUGAGAGGGUGAUCGGCCACACUGGAACUGAGACACGGUCCAGACUCCUACGGGAGGCAGCAGUAGGGAAUCUUCCGCAAUGGGCGAAAGCCUCACGGAGCAACGCCGCGUGAGUGAUGAAGGUCUUCGGAUCGUAAAACUCUGUUAUUAGGGAAGAACAAAUGUGUAAGUAACUAUGCACGUCUUGACGGUACCUAAUCAGAAAGCCACGGCUAACUACGUG
rnacentral:rRNA from 1 species